GCCCUUUUCCGGUUGAUCCUGCCGGAGGCCAUUGCUAUCGGAGUCCGAUUUAGCCAUGCUAGUCGCACGGGUUAGACCCGUGGCGAAUAGCUCAGUAACACGCGGCCAAACUACCCUACAGACGGCGAUAACCUCGGGAAACUGAGGCUAAUAGCCGAUACGGCUUCUAUGCUGGAGUGCAGGAAGCCGGAAACGCUCCGGCGCUGUAGGAUGUGGCUGCGGCCGACUAGGUAGACGGUGGGGUAACGGCCCACCGUGCCAGUAAUCGGUACGGGUGAUGAGAGUCAGAGCCCGGAGACGGUAUCUGAGACAAGAUACCGGGCCCUACGGGGCGCAGCAGGCGCGAAACCUUUACACUGCACGACAGUGCGAUAGGGGGACUCCGAGUGCGAGGGCAUAUAGUCCUCGCUUUUCUGGACCGUAAGGAGGUCCAGGAACAAGUGCUGGGCAAGACCGGUGCCAGCCGCCGCGGUAAUACCGGCAGCACGAGUGAUGGCCGAUAUUAUUGGGCCUAAAGCGCCCGUAGCUGGCCGGACAAGUCCGUUGGGAAAUCUGUGCGCUUAACGCGCAGGCGUCCAGCGGAAACUGUCCGGCUUGGGGCCGGAAGACUCGAGGGGUACGUCCGGGGUAGGAGUGAAAUCCCAUAAUCCUGGACGGACCGCCGGUGGCGAAAGCGCCUCGAGAGGACGGACCCGACAGUGAGGGACGAAAGCCAGGGUCUCGAACCGGAUUAGAUACCCGGGUAGUCCUGGCCGUAAACGAUGUCUGCUA
rnacentral:rRNA from 1 species